AUUGAACGCUGGCGGCAGGCCUAACACAUGCAAGUCGAACGAGUGGCGGACGGGUGAGUAAUGUCUGGGAAACUGCCCGAUGGAGGGGGAUAACUACUGGAAACGGUAGCUAAUACCGCAUACCAUCGGAUGUGCCCAGAUGGGAUUAGCUAGUAGGUGGGGUAAUGGCGCACCUAGGCGACGAGCCCUAGAUGGUCUGCGAGGAUGACCAGCCACACUGGAACUGAGACACGGUCCCGACUCCUACGGUAGGCAGCAGUGGGGAAUAGUGAACAAUGGGCGCAAGCCUGAUGCAGCCAUGCCGCGUGUAUGAAGAAGGCCUUCGGGUUGUAAAGUACUUUCAGCGAGGAGGCGUUACUCGCAGAAGAAGCACCGGCUAACUCCGUGCCAGCCGCCGCGGUAAUAC
rnacentral:rRNA from 1 species